rnacentral:tRNA from 1 species
GACAGUGGCCUAAUGGUAAGGCGUUGCUUUCCGGCUCUUCGUAUGGCAAAGAUUGCGGGUUCGAGUCCCGUCUGGGUCG